rnacentral:rRNA from 1 species
UAAUACGUAGGGGGCAAGCGUUGUCCGGAUUUACUGGGUGUAAAGGGUGCUCAGGCGGGUUUGUAAGUCAGAGGUGAAACUCCGAAGCUUAACUUCGGAACUGCCUUUGAUACUGCAAUCCUAGAGUUUGAGAGAGGCGAGUGGAAUAUCUGGUGUAGCAGUGAAAUGCGUAGAUAUCAGAUAGAACACCAAUGGCGAAGGCAGCUCGCUGGCUCAUAACUGACGCUAAAGCACGAAAGUGUGGGUAGCAAACAGGAUUAGAUACCCUGGUAGUCCACACCCUAAACGAUGAAUACUAGAUGUUGGUCCCUUUGGGGUCAGUAUCACAGCUAACGCAUUAAGUAUUCCACCUGGGAAGUACGAUCGCAAGGUUGAAACUUAAAGGAAUUGACGG